UACGGGGGGGGGCAAGCGUUUGUUCGGAAUUACUGGGCGUAAAGGGCGCGUAGGCGGUUCUUUUAAGUCAGGCGUGAAAGCCCUGGGCUCAACCUGGGAGUGGCGCUUGAUACUGGAGGACUAGAGAGUGGGAGAGGUUGGUGGAAUUCCCAGUGUAGAGGUGAAAUUCGUAGAUAUUGGGAAGAACACCGGUGGCGAAGGCGGCGACCUGGUCCGAUACUGACGCUGAGGCGCGAAAGCGUGGGGAGCAAACAGG
rnacentral:rRNA from 1 species